rnacentral:rRNA from 1 species
CCUACGGGAGACUGCAGUGGGGAAUAUUGCACAAUGGGCGAAAGCCUGAUGCAGCAACGCCGCGUGAGCGAUGAAGGCCUUCGGGACGUUAAGCUCUGUCCGCAAGGAAGAUAAUGACGGUCCUUGAGGAGGAAGCCCCGGUAAACGACGUGCCAACAGCCGCGGUAAUACGGAGGGGGCUAGCGUUAUUCGGAUUGACUGGGCGUAAAGUGUGCGUAGGUGGGUUCUUAAGUCAGAGGUGAAAGGCUACGGCUCAACCGUAGUAAGCCUUUGAAACUGGGGAAUUUGAGUGCAGGAGAGGAGAGUGGAAUUCCUAGUGUAGCGGUGAAAUGCGUAGAUAUUAGGAGGAACACCAGUUGCGAAGGCGGCUCUCUGGACUGCAACUGACACUGAGGCACGAAAGCGUGGGGAGCAAACAGGAUUAGAUACCCGAGUAGUC